GUCAUUUUCAAAUGUUGACGUACGUCUAAUAAAUAUGUCAAAUAAUGCAUAUCAGAUUCUGUAGAACAGUUUAUGAUCUGUUUUAAUCGGAUGGGCAUGCGAUAGUCAUAACUUUAGUUUGAACUGUUGAUUUUUUUAAACAAGGGUAAUCUUUAGUGUGUAUCAGUUUCGGCCAAAGUGUUGCAAGAUAAUUUUAUUCGAAAUCGAUAAGAAGGUUUCCACUCAGGUGGAAAUAAAUCAGAUUAACUCCUACAAUCUACACCUACCAGAGGCUCCCACAAAUUAUAUGGAUCUGACAAUGUCUUCACAUAUAACUGGAGAAACAGAAAAUGGUGAAUUUCUUCGUCAGCUGCUAGAAGAAGACAUUGAUUCAAACUUUGAACCUGUUAAAGGAGGAAGAUCCAGCAAAAGA